rnacentral:rRNA from 1 species
UAAUACGUAGGGCGCAAGCGUUGUCCGGAAUUAUUGGGCGUAAAGAGCUCGUAGGUGGCUGGUCACGUCUGCCGUGAAAGCCCGCAGCUUAACUGCGGGUCUGCGGUGGAUACGGGCCGGCUAGAGGUAGGUAGGGGCAAGUGGAAUUCCUGGUGUAGCGGUGAAAUGCGCAGAUAUCAGGAGGAACACCGGUGGCGAAGGCGGCUUGCUGGGCCUUACCUGACGCUGAGGAGCGAAAGCGUGGGGAGCGAACAGGAUUAGAUACCCUGGUAGUCCACGCUGUAAACGUUGGGCGCUAGGUGUGGGGAUCUUCCACGAUUUCCGUGCCGGAGCUAACGCAUUAAGCGCCCCGCCUGGGGAGUACGGCCGCAAGGCUA